AGUGUGGUUUUGCCUUCGAGGAGGGGUGCCCAGUGGUGAUGCCCAGGAGAGGGAAUGGAAACCUGGAGCUGGGAGCGAGGGGAGGAGACAGGUUUCUGCAGACUCUACAUUUUGGAGAGAAACAGAAAAGAAUGUCCCCAAGUCUCCUUUGCCCUGCGAUGCUGGGGCAGAUUGGCAAGGUCCCAAGAGAAGCACAAUGGUAACCGACGCUGCCCUUGGCUGAACUUCUUCUGUUAAAUCCUUCGGAUGGAUGCUGGAAUCGACCUUGAUCUCUAGUUCGACUCCCGUGCAACGUGUUGAGGAGGAGCCACCUCCUCCAAGCACCUAAAGCCGACCCAGAAACGCCUCCCAAUCCCUCCACACCGCGGCUCCCGGGAUCCGAAGCUGGGGAGCUGCUUCUGUCCAAUCAGGCUUUGUAUCCCGGGACGCUUCCGGUUAUGGCGUCAUUAUGCAGCCAGGGAUGAGACAGGAGCCUAUCUGAUUGACAGAGACCCCACCUACUUUGGUCCUAUCCUCAACUACCU
rnacentral:sRNA from 1 species